GGGUUGUGAGGUUAAGCGACUAAGCGUACACGGUGGAUGCCCUGGCAGUCAGAGGCGAUGAAGGACGUGCUAAUCUGCGAUAAGCGUCGGUAAGGUGAUAUGAACCGUUAUAACCGGCGAUUUCCGAAUGGGGAAACCCAGUGUGUUUCGACACACUAUCAUUAACUGAAUCCAUAGGUUAAUGAGGCGAACCGGGGGAACUGAAACAUCUAAGUACCCCGAGGAAAAGAAAUCAACCGAGAUUCCCCCAGUAGCGGCGAGCGAACGGGGAGGAGCCCAGAGCCUGAACCAGUGUGUGUGUUAGUGGAAGCGUCUGGAAAGGCGCGCGAUACAGGGUGACAGCCCCGUACACAAAAAUGCACAUGCUGUGAGCUCGAUGAGUAGGGCGGGACACGUGGUAUCCUGUCUGAAUAUGGGGGGACCAUCCUCCAAGGCUAAAUACUCCUGACUGACCGAUAGUGAACCAGUACCGUGAGGGAAAGGCGAAAAGAACCCCGGCGAGGGGAGUGAAAAAGAACCUGAAACCGUGUACGUACAAGCAGUGGGAGCACGCUUCGGCGUGUGACUGCGUACCUUUUGUAUAAUGGGUCAGCGACUUAUAUUCUGUAGCAAGGUUAACCGAAUAGGGGAGCCGAAGGGAAACCGAGUCUUAACUGGGCGUUAAGUUGCAGGGUAUAGACCCGAAACCCGGUGAUCUAGCCAUGGGCAGGUUGAAGGUUGGGUAACACUAACUGGAGGACCGAACCGACUAAUGUUGAAAAAUUAGCGGAUGACUUGUGGCUGGGGGUGAAAGGCCAAUCAAACCGGGAGAUAGCUGGUUCUCCCCGAAAGCUAUUUAGGUAGCGCCUCGUGAACUCAUCUCCGGGGGUAGAGCACUGUUUCGGCAAGGGGGUCAUCCCGACUUACCAACCCGAUGCAAACUGCGAAUACCGGAGAAUGUUAUCACGGGAGACACACGGCGGGUGCUAACGUCCGUCGUGAAGAGGGAAACAACCCAGACCGCCAGCUAAGGUCCCAAAGUCAUGGUUAAGUGGGAAACGAUGUGGGAAGGCCCAGACAGCCAGGAUGUUGGCUUAGAAGCAGCCAUCAUUUAAAGAAAGCGUAAUAGCUCACUGGUCGAGUCGGCCUGCGCGGAAGAUGUAACGGGGCUAAACCAUGCACCGAAGCUGCGGCAGCGACACUAUGUGUUGUUGGGUAGGGGAGCGUUCUGUAAGCCUGUGAAGGUGUGCUGUGAGGCACGCUGGAGGUAUCAGAAGUGCGAAUGCUGACAUAAGUAACGAUAAAGCGGGUGAAAAGCCCGCUCGCCGGAAGACCAAGGGUUCCUGUCCAACGUUAAUCGGGGCAGGGUGAGUCGACCCCUAAGGCGAGGCCGAAAGGCGUAGUCGAUGGGAAACAGGUUAAUAUUCCUGUACUUGGUGUUACUGCGAAGGGGGGACGGAGAAGGCUAUGUUGGCCGGGCGACGGUUGUCCCGGUUUAAGCGUGUAGGCUGGUUUUCCAGGCAAAUCCGGAAAAUCAAGGCUGAGGCGUGAUGACGAGGCACUACGGUGCUGAAGCAACAAAUGCCCUGCUUCCAGGAAAAGCCUCUAAGCAUCAGGUAACAUCAAAUCGUACCCCAAACCGACACAGGUGGUCAGGUAGAGAAUACCAAGGCGCUUGAGAGAACUCGGGUGAAGGAACUAGGCAAAAUGGUGCCGUAACUUCGGGAGAAGGCACGCUGAUAUGUAGGUGAAGUCCCUCGCGGAUGGAGCUGAAAUCAGUCGAAGAUACCAGCUGGCUGCAACUGUUUAUUAAAAACACAGCACUGUGCAAACACGAAAGUGGACGUAUACGGUGUGACGCCUGCCCGGUGCCGGAAGGUUAAUUGAUGGGGUCAGCGCAAGCGAAGCUCUUGAUCGAAGCCCCGGUAAACGGCGGCCGUAACUAUAACGGUCCUAAGGUAGCGAAAUUCCUUGUCGGGUAAGUUCCGACCUGCACGAAUGGCGUAAUGAUGGCCAGGCUGUCUCCACCCGAGACUCAGUGAAAUUGAACUCGCUGUGAAGAUGCAGUGUACCCGCGGCAAGACGGAAAGACCCCGUGAACCUUUACUAUAGCUUGACACUGAACAUUGAGCCUUGAUGUGUAGGAUAGGUGGGAGGCUUUGAAGUGUGGACGCCAGUCUGCAUGGAGCCGACCUUGAAAUACCACCCUUUAAUGUUUGAUGUUCUAACGUGGACCCGUAAUCCGGGUUGCGGACAGUGUCUGGUGGGUAGUUUGACUGGGGCGGUCUCCUCCUAAAGAGUAACGGAGGAGCACGAAGGUUGGCUAAUCCUGGUCGGACAUCAGGAGGUUAGUGCAAUGGCAUAAGCCAGCUUGACUGCGAGCGUGACGGCGCGAGCAGGUGCGAAAGCAGGUCAUAGUGAUCCGGUGGUUCUGAAUGGAAGGGCCAUCGCUCAACGGAUAAAAGGUACUCCGGGGAUAACAGGCUGAUACCGCCCAAGAGUUCAUAUCGACGGCGGUGUUUGGCACCUCGAUGUCGGCUCAUCACAUCCUGGGGCUGAAGUAGGUCCCAAGGGUAUGGCUGUUCGCCAUUUAAAGUGGUACGCGAGCUGGGUUUAGAACGUCGUGAGACAGUUCGGUCCCUAUCUGCCGUGGGCGCUGGAGAACUGAGGGGGGCUGCUCCUAGUACGAGAGGACCGGAGUGGACGCAUCACUGGUGUUCGGGUUGUCAUGCCAAUGGCACUGCCCGGUAGCUAAAUGCGGAAGAGAUAAGUGCUGAAAGCAUCUAAGCACGAAACUUGCCCCGAGAUGAGUUCUCCCUGACCCUUUAAGGGUCCUGAAGGAACGUUGAAGACGACGACGUUGAUAGGCCGGGUGUGUAAGCGCAGCGAUGCGUUGAGCUAACCGGUACUAAUGAACCGUGAGGCUUAACCUUACAA
rnacentral:rRNA from 1 species